rnacentral:rRNA from 1 species
UACGGAGGGGGCUAGCGUUGUUCGGAAUUACUGGGCGUAAAGCGCACGUAGGCGGCUUUGUAAGUUAGAGGUGAAAGCCCGGGGCUCAACUCCGGAAUUGCCUUUAAGACUGCAUCGCUAGAAUUGUGGAGAGGUAAGUGGAAUUCCGAGUGUAGAGGUGAAAUUCGUAGAUAUUCGGAAGAACACCAGUGGCGAAGGCGACUUACUGGACACAUAUUGACGCUGAGGUGCGAAAGCGUGGGAGCAACAGGAUAGAAACC